GCGAUGGUGGUAAAGUGGUUAGCAUAGCUGCUUCCCAAGCAGUUGACCCGGGUUCGAUUCCCGGCCAACGCA
rfam:Nematostella vectensis strain CH2 x CH6 NEMVEscaffold_125_Cont14357, whole genome shotgun sequence.